UUUUCUUUCUUUUUCGCAGACAUUUUGUAGGAAUAUCGUACCAUAUUCACUUCAAUCUCUCGCGGUGUACCGCGGUAUUCGACCCGGCCGGCAAUACGUGCAUUCCUUUUUCCCCACUUCAGUGAUCUGUACUCGGGCCAAAAAAAACGAGAGAGAAUUAUACAGUCUGAAAUGAUAUAACAUACAUGCCGAGAGGAGAAGAUGCGAACAUACGAUGAGAAGU